AUUGAACGCUGGCGGCAGGCCUAACACAUGCAAGUCGAGCGAGCGGCGGACGGGUGAGUAAUGUAUGGGGACUGCCCGAUAGAGGGGGAUAACUACUGGAAACGGUAGCUAAUACCGCAUACUAUCGGAUAACCCAUAUGGGAUUAGCUAGUAGGUGGGGUAAUGGCUCACGAAGGCUACGAUCCGUAGCUGGUUUGAGAGGACGACCAGCCACACUGGGACUGAGACACGGACCAGACUCCUACGGAGGCAGCAGUGGUGAAUUUUGAACAAUGGGGGAAAGCCUGAUGCAGCCAUCCCGCGUGUAUGAUGAAGGCCUUCGGGUUGUAAAGUACUUUUAGCAGAGAAGCGGUAUCUGCAGAAGAAGCACCGGCUAACUACGUGCCAGCAGCCGCGGUAAUAC
rnacentral:rRNA from 1 species